GCGGGGAGGCUGCGGCCCAGCGGCGCUCGGGGGGGCCGCCCCAGUGCCCCCAGGGCACCGCAGCCGCCGGGGGUGAGCUGCGCCCGGCAGCGACUGCAGCCUCCGGCUCUGCCCGGCCGGCAGCAGCUGCAGCCCGGCCCUGGGCCUCUGCUUCCCCCCGGCGCUGGCAGGAGGCAGCUCAGGCCUGGCGCUGGGCAGCAGGCCCCAGAUGGCUGCGGUGAGGACCAGCCUGGUGGGAUCCUGCUCCUGGCAGGGAGCUGUGGCUGUGCCUUUGUCCAGCUGGAGGUUGGAGCUUCCUCAGAGCCCUGGGCCAAGCCUACCUCAGCCUGCUGCUAGCAUGGCCUUGGGGACAGCAGCAGAAGCCAAGCUGGACCAGAGCUGCUGCAGGGCCUGGAUGGUCAAGGAAGAGCUGCUGAGGCUUCUCCUCUGCCCCAUGGAGAGGCAUCAGGGGGCUGUGACCAGGCUGGGAGACACAGUCCUGGGCUGUCUUCUGCUUGACCUCAUGUUCCCCAGGAGGAUGUGAAGCCCAUGGACAGCCUCUGGAGCUCCAGCCCUGCCCUCCCCAGAACUUUUUUCCAGAACCAGACUCAUAAGUAGGCUGCUGAGCUCCAUCUGCAGGCCUGGAGGCACUUCCAGGUGUUGUCACCAAGCCCAUGGGUGCCUGAAUCCUGACUCUGAUCUCCCCAUGGGGCUGGGCAUGUCCCCAAGGGGUUGGUUGGUU